AGGAACACACAUUGCAUCACGAUGGAGGAAUUCAGAUAUGACUUCAUUGUUUUAAACUACGGCGUGCAACAUGGUUCAAUGUGCCAGUAAAUCAGCACGAUCAACUUUAUUUUGAAUUGUAUUGCCGCUGUCACGGAGCUCUAGAAUUGGCAUCAAGUUUAUUGUGCUAACGAAGAUACAAACAGAGUAAUGGAGAGCACUGAAUAACAUGGCAGUACACGGGGUUUCGCCAUCUUUAUGCGUGUCCGCUAUAACGACGAAUCAAAGGCAAUUAUCAAUGUACCAGAGGACAUCCCAGGCAAACGUCAAGCUCUAACACGGAUUUGGAGAUGACUUCCUAGAGAGGAGCAGCCAUAGACUUAGAUAGACAUCGUAUCAUUGUAUCGGUCCCUGUAUGGCGUCCGUGAGAGCACGGGCAGCGCCAUUGAGGCCAUCUCCCUUUUGAAGUGGUACAUUUUCUACUUCUACUACGUCAAUGGCAAACAAACUGCCGCAUAGUGUGUUGUUUGAACAUGUAUAAAGCCAAGGUUGGCGAUUCAAUUCCACCUCCAGUUAUGGAAUGUUUCCUCACCAGUAAAAAUUCAUUGGCUGAAUCCUCCUGGUCACCCGGAUGGAAUUAUGUGAUCCUUCCUCAUAAUGGUGAAAGUCCUCAAUGGCGCUGCCAAUGAUAAAACAGGCUUUUGGGCACUCAGAGUCCUCUAUCUACACUCUUCGGGGGAAAAAAGGGUUCCAAAAGGGUUCUUGGCUGUCCCCAUAGGAGAACCCUUUUUGGUUCCAGGGAGAACUCUUUUUGGUUCCACAUAGAACCCUCUGUGGAAAGAGUCUAUCUCUAUGGAGCAGCCAAGGUUGGCCUAGCGUUGGGAAAGUGGUCCAGAGGAGUUAGCACUACGUUCAGCCAGUCUAACGUGUGCAACACAUCUCCAAAGGUGUUCAUUCCCCAAGGAGACCGGACAGGCACAAAAAAGGUCACACGAAAACCAAGUCCCAUCCAUUCUCCCAGCCACACACCAUAACAACCUCUACAGUAGCCUAUACUAACAAGACUACUUGAAUAAUUACAACAUGUGCUGCGUAGGGAACAGACCUGCAUCAGCAUGACAUGUUGACAUGCUAUUUUACACCCCAUUUGAUAUGAGAUACACCGUUCUGCCUUGAGAAGACAGCCCGAUAUUGUAAUGUAUAUGCCAUGUUCAUCGUAAGAGCUAGUCCACCUGGAUCAAUAGUCCUCCUAUUACCCUGCAGCAGCCACAUCGUUACAUUACAACCUUGCUGCAAUAAGAAUCACAUCACCUAGAAACACAUCACAGAGGAUAGGGCCCAGUGUGUAUCUGUGUGUGUGUGGGUGUGUGUGAGCCAGUGUGUGUGCACAAACAUUAUUUGUGGCAUUGUGCGCACAAGUGACAGCAGACAGGUCAGAGGGCAGUGUGGGAGGUAUGUGCAUCUCACCUCUCUGUGGAGGUGACACCAAGAGGCCAGGCCACUACAGUAGGCAAGUCUCUGGGUUGAGAACAGAGGGCUGUAAUAACCAGGCCCAGCUGGGUUUUGUGUAUUAAACGGCAGGUGGGUGGAGACAAGGCCUGCUAGCAGAUUAACAGGUCGGAAGGCAGAGGGCAUGCACACAACACUGCUUAAUAGAAUAAACGGCACAGUGAAAAUGUGCUCUGUAUUAAAUCUAAUUACCCUGCAGUAAUGGCACAGCUUUUUACGAUGUCCGUUGUGGCACGCCAAUGUUCAUUUACUGUAAUGUUAAUCUAAGUGGCUCCGAGUCUAGGGGAUCUCUGCGCUGCUUGAGGAGACAGUGUGUUUUCAGAGCAGGGGUAAGCAACUAGAUUCAUCCGUGUGCUUUUAAGUAUGCUGCCUCUAAUUCUCCCACAUUUCUUUAUCUCCCCUCCUGGAGGACCUGAGCCCUAGCAACAUGCCUCAGGACUACCUGGCCUGAUGACUCCUGGCUUUCUCAGUCCCCAGUCCACCUGGUCAUGCUGCUGAUGCAGUUUCUGCUGUUCUGCCUGCGGCUAUGGAAUCCUGACCUGUUCACCUGCUAUCUUAUACCGGGCCUGCUGUUUCCCCUCUCUCUCUCUCUCUCUCUCUCUCUCUCUCUCUCUUUCUACCGCACCUGCUGUCUUGGCCUCUGAAUGCUUGGCUAUGAAAAGCCAGCUGACCUGCUGCACCCUCUGUAACCACUGUGAUUAUUAUUUGACCCUGAACGUUUGAACAUCUUGAAAAAUGAUCUGGCCUUAAUGAUCAUGUACUCUUAUAAUCUCCACUGGCACAGCCAGAAGAGGAUUGCUGCCCCCCCCUCCCCAGAGCCUGGUUCCUCUCUGCCUUUCUAGGGAGUUUCUCCUAGCCAUUGUGAUUCUCCAUCUGCAUUGCUACUCUUUGGGGUUUCAGGCUGAGUUUCUUUAUAAACACUUUGUGACAUCUGCUGAUGUAAAAAGAGCUCUAUAAAUACAUUUGAUUGAUUGAUAAAGGCUAUAUAAUAGAGCACAGACAGGCUGGUUGGAUAAAGUCUGAGUAAGAACAUCCAGUCUUCCAUAUUGGCAGCUGCUGUGUUUUUGGCUGAAUCUCCAUCUACUUCCCUGUUUUAAUCAGAACACCUGAGAACCACCAGCUUGGAACAUAACGAACAGCUGUGGCCAGUCUCAUACUGAAUCUGCUUUGAGAGCAGUGUCCUACCUAGACCCAGACACUUCUGCUAUUCUUAUACACUGUAAUAAUAACAACACAUAACAGUUGGGCUACUGUACUGCAGAAGCAUAAUAGGCAUAGUCUAAAUUAAUGCUGACACAGUAAUUAGACAGUAGCCUGUUUUACCAUGUUUCAGCGCUGAAUUAAAGCCAAAUAAAGCAUAAUGUGCUUCCUAGGGAAAUUAAUUGGGAGAGAAAAAAAAACCACUCCUCCCGACCAAAACAAGUCAAACCAUCUGAGAGCCUUUCUUAACUUCUGCAUAACACACAUCUCUAUGACAUCCUCUGAUUCACAUAAAGAAUCACCCAUCAACAGCUAACACUUGGCCUUAGAGAAAAGUGUGUGUGUGUGUACGCGUGUACACGAAAGACAGAAAUAAGUGUACAGGGAGGUGCUGUGACAGCCGGUCACGGCGGUGAGAAUGAUCCUAUCUGCAGAACAAGGUGCUUGGGAAUAAUCGGUGGAGGCUGAGAGGCGUUGAGCACUCGGGCAGGUCAGGUCUGCUUGCUGGUAGCCCUGACAUGACAUCAGGUAGAAGGAGAGAGAGAGUGCGAGACUGAGGGUAAAUAAAAGAGAGAAGGGAGAGGCAUAUUGACAGAAUGGGAGAAAAACAAACACAAAAAAGAUUGAUAGGGAGGAAGAGGGAAAAGAGAAGGGGAGAAAGA